rnacentral:rRNA from 1 species
UCAAUAAGCGGAGGAAAAGAAACUAACAAGGAUUCCCUUAGUAACGGCGAGUGAAGCGGGAAGAGCUCAAAUUUGUAAUCUGGCGGCUUCAAGUCGUCCGAGUUGUAGUCUGGAGAAGCGUUUUCCGUACCGGACCGUGUACAAGUCCCUUGGAACAGGGCGUCGUAGAGGGUGAGAAUCCCGUCUCUGACACGGACUGCCGGUGCUCUGUGAUGCGCUCUCGAAGAGUCGAGUUGUUUGGGAAUGCAGCUCAAAAUGGGUGGUAAAUUCCAUCUAAAGCUAAAUAUGGGCGAAAGACCGAUAGCGAACAAGUACCGUGAGGGAAAGAUGAAAAGCACUUUGGAAAGAGAGUUAAACAGUACGUGAAAUUGUUGAAAGGGAAACGCUUGAAGUCAGUCGCGUCUUCCGAGACUCAACCGGGUCAUCACCCGGCGCACUUCUCGGUGUGACGGGCCAGCAUCGAUUUCGACCGUCGGAGAAAGGCUUUGGGAAUGUGGCACCUUCGGGUGUGUUAUAGCCCUCGGUCGUAUGCGACGGUCGGGAUCGAGGACCGCAGCGUGCCCUUCACCGGGCCGGGGUUCGCCCACGUAACGCGCUUAGGAUGCUGGCGUAAUGGCUUUAA